UGAGGGAUUUUGCACAAUGGAGGAAACUCUGAUGCAGCGACGCCGCGUGCGGGAUGAAGCCUUUCGGGGUGUAAACCGCUGUCAGUAGAGAAGAGUAUGGACGGUACCCACUGAGGAAGCAUCGGCUAACUACGUGCCAGCAGCCGCGGUAAGACGUAGGGUGCAAGCGUUGUCCGGAAUCACUGGGCGUAAAGAGCUCGUAGGCGGGGUCGCGCGUCACGGAGUAAAUCUCUCUGCUCAACGGAGAGUUCUUCAGUGAUACGGCGACUCUUGAGGACAGGAGAGGAAAGCGGAAUUCCGAGUGUAGCGGUGAAAUGCGUAGAUAUUCGGAGGAACACCAGUGGCGAAGGCGGCUUUCUGGCCUGAUUCUGACGCUGAGGAGCGAAAGCCAGGGUAGCGAACGGGAUUAGAUACCCCCGUAGUCC
rnacentral:rRNA from 1 species